rnacentral:rRNA from 1 species
GACGAACGCUGGCGGCGUGCUUAACACAUGCAAGUCGAACGGUGAUAGCGGAGCUUGCUCCGCUGGAUCAGUGGCGAACGGGUGAGUAACACGUGGGCAACCUGCCCCAGACUUCGGGAUAACUCUUCGAAAGAGGUGCUAAUACCGGAUACGAACUCUGCAGGCAUCUGUGGAGUUGGAAAGUUUUCGGUCUGGGAUGGGCCCGCGGCCUAUCAGCUAGUUGGUGAGGUAGUGGCUCACCAAGGCGACGACGGGUAGCCGGCCUGAGAGGGCGACCGGCCACACUGGGACUGAGACACGGCCCAGACUCCUACGGGAGGCAGCAGUGGGGAAUAUUGCGCAAUGGGCGAAAGCCUGACGCAGCAACGCCGCGUGCGGGAUGAAGGCCUUCGGGUUGUAAACCGCUUUCAGCAGGGAAGAAGCGAAAGUGACGGUACCUGCAGAAGAAGCACCGGCUAACUACGUG